AUUUGAAAUCUGGCGUGCUCAGUGCGUCCGAGUUGUAAUCUAUAGAGUCGUUUUCCGUGCCGGACUGUGUCCAAGUCCCUUGGAACAGGGUAUCAAAGAGGGUGAUAAUCCCGUACUUGACACAAUGACCGGUGCUCUGUGAUACGUCUUCUACGAGUCGAGUUGUUUGGGAAUGCAGCUCAAAAUGGGUGGUGAGUUCCAUCUAAAGCUAAAUAUUGGCGAGAGACCGAUAGCGAACAAGUACCGUGAGGGAAAGAUGAAAAGCACUUUGGAAAGAGAGUUAAACAGUACGUGAAAUUGUUAAAAGGGAAACGAUUGAAGUCAGUCGUGACUGAGAGGCUCAGCCGGUUCUGCCGGUGUAUUCCCCUCAGUCGGGUCAACAUCAGUUUUGUUCGGUGGAUAAGGGCAGUUGGAAGGUGGCACCCUCGGGUGUGUUAUAGCCAGCUGUCGCAUACAUCGGAUGAGACUGAGGAAUGCAGCUCGC
rnacentral:rRNA from 1 species